GGAUUGAACGCUGGCGGAAUGCUUUACACAUGCAAGUCGAACGGCAGCACGGGGGCAACCCUGGUGGCGAGUGGCGAACGGGGUGAGUAAUACAUCGGAACGUGCCCAGUCGUGGGGGAUAACGUAGCGAAAGCUACGCUAAUACCGCAUACGAACUCUGGUUGAAAGCGGGGGACUCGCAAGAGCCUCGCGCGAUUGGAGCGGCCGAUGGCAGA
rnacentral:rRNA from 1 species